rnacentral:lncRNA from 1 species
CCAACUUCUGUCAAAAGAUGCUAAAACCUUCUAGAAACAUCUAAAUCUUGCAUACGUCUAAGUCCAAAAUCUUCAUACGGACCUUCCGGGGCCACCAAAACUCCGAUCCAGGUCAAACACACAAAAUCAAACUUGGUCAACUCCAUCAACUUCAAACUUCUUAAAUGAGAUUCAUCCUUCAAAGUUAAUUCCGAACAACUCAAAAACCAAAUUUGAUGAUGCACGCAAGUCAUAAUGCACUAUGUGAAGCUACUCAUGACCACAAAAUGUCGAACUGAAGGCAAUUGCUCAAAAUGCCCGACCAGGUCGUUACAGACUCAUUAAUUUCCUUUGAAUUUU